rnacentral:rRNA from 1 species
GAUGAACGCUGGCGGCGUGCCUAAUACAUGCAAGUCGAGCGAACGGACGAGAAGCUUGCUUCUCUGAUGUUAGCGGCGGACGGGUGAGUAACACGUGUAUAACCUACCUAUAAGACUGGGAUAACUUCGGGAAACCGGAGCUAAUACCGGAUGAUAUUUUGAACCGCAUGGUUCAAAAGUGAAAGACGGUCUUGCUGUCACUUAUAGAUGGAUCCGCGCUGCAUUAGCUAGUUGGUAAUGUAACGGCUUACCAAGGCAACGAUGCAUAGACGACCUGAGAGGGUGAUCGGCCACACUGGAACUGAGACACGGUCAAGACUCCUAAGGGAGGCAGCAGUAGGGAAUCUUCCGCAAUGGGCGAGAGCCUGACGGAGCAGCGCCGCGUGAGUGAUGAAGGUCUUCGGAUCGUAAAACUCUGUUAUUAGGGAAGAACAUAUGUGUAAGUAACUGUGCACAUCUUGACGGUACCUAAUCAGAAAGCCACGGCUAACUACGUG